rnacentral:rRNA from 1 species
ACUUUUCGGAGUUCAGUGGCGGACGGGUGAGUAACGCGUGAGAAUCUGCCUUUUGGUCGGGGACAACCACUGGAAACGGUGGCUAAUACCGGAUAAGCCUGCGGGUAAAAGAUUAAUUGCCAAGAGAGGAGCUCGCGUCUGAUUAGCUAGUUGGUGAGGUAAAGGCUCACCAAGGCGGCGAUCAGUAGCUGGUCUGAGAGGAUGACCAGCCACACUGGGACUGAGACACGGCCCAGACUCCUACGGGAGGCAGCAGUGGGGAAUUUUCCGCAAUGGGCGAAAGCCUGACGGAGCAAGACCGCGUGAGGGAGGAAGGCUCUUGGGUUGUAAACCUCUUUUGUCAGGGAAGAACACAAUGACGGUACCUGAAGAAUCAGCAUCGGCUAACUCCGUGCCAGCAGCCGCGGUAAUACGGAGGAUGCAAGCGUUAUCCGGAAUUAUUGGGCGUAAAGCGUCCGCAGGUGGCACUUCAAGUCUGCUGUCAAAGACCGGGGCUUAACCCUGGAAAGGCAGUGGAAACUGAAGCGCUAGAGUGUGGCAGGGGUAGAGGGAAUUCCCGGUGUAGCGGUGAAAUGCGUAGAGAUCGGGAAGAACAUCGGUGGCGAAAGCGCUCUACUGGGCCACAACUGACACUCAG